rnacentral:SRP_RNA from 1 species
CUUUGAAGAAGGUUCGAGAAGUCCGAGGGCAGAUCGACGAGAUCAUGCAGCAGCAAAAAGUGCCCGUGGUAUCGUGCGGUAGGGAUUGGGACGUGG